rnacentral:lncRNA from 1 species
UUGAAAGCUAACGGAACCGUCUUCAUCGACAUCUCUCUCGCUUGCUGCACCCUUUGUUGUUGUGAUGUCCUCCUUUUGUUCAGUAAUAAUUGGGGUAAUAAUCGCAAACUGAUAUUUUAUUGAAAUGGUUAAUACCUGUAGCAAUGUCUAUGUACUAGUUAAAUGGACGUUCUUCCGUUGAAACUCAACCUAGCCUAGGAUAGCCGCUAGGCCUAUUCUGUUGCCAUUUGGAAAAAAAGAAGAGUCCGGAACAUGCCAAUCUCUAGGCCUAUGCACAGUCAGUAUUGUGAAAAGGACCAGCUCAUAGUCAUCACUCAGAUAAGCGAUGGGGCACAAGGCAAAUUCAAAAUUUGUUUGUUAUUGUUUCCGAUGCAUGAAGUGGUAGGGAAAUACAAGAUAGGGAAGAAAAGCAAGGCACAUGUGGAACAUCGGUAGAGAAAGAGCGUUUGGAUCCCAUCUGAAUUACUACCAUAACAGAUUUCCUGAGGCUUCAACUACUCUUUUGAGGCAGUCUCUGCCAAACAGAAUAAAGAAAAU